rnacentral:rRNA from 1 species
UACGGGGGGGGUAAGCGUUGUUCGGAAUUACUGGGCGUAAAGGGCUCGUAGGCGGCCAACUAAGUCAUACGUGAAAUCCCUCAGCUUAACUGGGGAACUGCGUGUGAUACUGGAUGGCUUGGAUUUGGGAGAGGGAUGCGGAAUUCCAGGUGUAGCGGUGAAAUGCGUAGAGAUCUGGAGGAAUACCGGUGGCGAAGGCGGCCCCCUGGACAAAGACUGACGCUCAGGUGCGAAAGCGUGGGGAGCAAACAGG